GUGCCAGCAGCCGCGGUAACACCGGCAGCCCAAGUGGUGGCCGCUUUUAUUGGGCCUAAAGCGUCCGUAGCCGGCCAGGUAAGUCCCUGUGUAAAUCUUCAGGCUUAACUUGAAGAAUUGCGGGGAUACUGCUUGGCUUGGGGCCGGAAGACGUGGAGGGUACUCCGGGGGUAGCGGUGAAAUGCUGUAAUCCUCGGGGGACCACCAGUGGCGAAGGCUCUCCACGAGGACGGGCCCGACGGUGAGGGACGAAAGCCAGGGGCGCGAACGGGAUUAGAUACCCCGGUAGUCCUGGCCGUAAACGCUGCAGGCUUGGUGUUGCACGCUCUACGGGGGCGUGCAGUGCCGAAGCGAAGGCGAUAAGCCUGCCGCCUGGGAAGUACGCUCGCAAGAGUGAAACUCAAAUGAAUUGACGG
rnacentral:rRNA from 1 species